GGGCUCGCUUUGGCAGCACAUAUACUAAAAUUGGAACGAUACAGAGAAGAUUAGCACGGCCCCUUGUGCAAGGAGAUGCCCAGUUUGCAAGUAGUGGCUUAGCUUACU